AUUGAACGCUGGCGGCAGGCCUAACACAUGCAAGUCGAACGGUAGCACAGAGAGCUUGCUCUCGGGUGACGAGUGGCGGACGGGUGAGUAAUGUCUGGGAAACUGCCUGAUGGAGGGGGAUAACUACUGGAAACGGUAGCUAAUACCGCAUAACGUCGCAAGACCAAAGAGGGGGACCUUCGGGCCUCUUGCCAUCAGAUGUGCCCAGAUGGGAUUAGCUAGUAGGUGGGGUAACGGCUCACCUAGGCGACGAUCCCUAGCUGGUCUGAGAGGAUGACCAGCCACACUGGAACUGAGACACGGUCCAGACUCCUACGGGAGGCAGCAGUGGGGAAUAUUGCACAAUGGGCGCAAGCCUGAUGCAGCCAUGCCGCGUGUAUGAAGAAGGCCUUCGGGUUGUAAAGUACUUUCAGCGGGGAGGAAGGCGAUAAGGUUAAUAACCUUGUCGAUUGACGUUACCCGCAGAAGAAGCACCGGCUAACUCCGUGCCAGCAGCCGCGGUAAUACGGAGGGUGCAAGCGUUAAUCGGAAUUACUGGGCGUAAAGCGCACGCAGGCGGUCUGUCAAGUCGGAUGUGAAAUCCCCGGGCUCAACCUGGGAACUGCAUUCGAAACUGGCAGGCUGGAGUCUUGUAGAGGGGGGUAGAAUUCCAGGUGUAGCGGUGAAAUGCGUAGAGAUCUGGAGGAAUACCGGUGGCGAAGGCGGCCCCCUGGACAAAGACUGACGCUCAGGUGCGAAAGCGUGGGGGAGCAAACAGGAUUAGAUACCCUGGUAGUCCACGCUGUAAACGAUGUCGACUUGGAGGUUGUUCCCUUGAGGAGUGGCUUCCGGAGCUAACGCGUUAAGUCGACCGCCUGGGGAGUACGGCCGCAAGGUUAAAACUCAAAUGAAUUGACGGGGGCCCGCACAAGCGGUGGAGCAUGUGGUUUAAUUCGAUGCAACGCGAAGAACCUUACCUACUCUUGACAUCCAGAGAACUUAGCAGAGAUGCUUUGGUGCCUUCGGGAACUCUGAGACAGGUGCUGCAUGGCUGUCGUCAGCUCGUGUUGUGAAAUGUUGGGUUAAGUCCCGCAACGAGCGCAACCCUUAUCCUUUGUUGCCAGCGGUUCGGCCGGGAACUCAAAGGAGACUGCCAGUGAUAAACUGGAGGAAGGUGGGGAUGACGUCAAGUCAUCAUGGCCCUUACGAGUAGGGCUACACACGUGCUACAAUGGCAUAUACAAAGAGAAGCGACCUCGCGAGAGCAAGCGGACCUCAUAAAGUAUGUCGUAGUCCGGAUUGGAGUCUGCAACUCGACUCCAUGAAGUCGGAAUCGCUAGUAAUCGUGGAUCAGAAUGCCACGGUGAAUACGUUCCCGGGCCUUGUACACACCGCCCGUCACACCAUGGGAGUGGGUUGCAAAAGAAGUAGGUAGCUUAACCUUCGGGAGGGCGCUUACCACUUUGUGAUUCAUGACUGGGGUGA
rnacentral:rRNA from 1 species